rnacentral:tRNA from 1 species
GCCGCCGUAGCUCAGUGGUAGAGCACCGGACGCGUUAUUCGAAGGUCGCAGGUUCGAUCCCUGCCGGCGGCA